CGUACAUUGUGCAGUUUCUUAGUUUUUCUGUCUCAAAUUUGUUGGACUGGCCUUCAAGCUUGCCGAGGGAGUUGUAGCUGUGCUUUGAUUUCUGAGAUAUGCUAAUAUCUUCAUUCUGUGACAAGUUGCAGCGUAGUGUUUGUUUCGGGAAGCAUCCACUGUGUCGAUGGAGCUGUUAUUAAAGGUUGCAGAGAUGGCACAGUUUUUAUUACCAUCAAUAUCCUGAAUUCGGUAGCUGGCUUCGUGAUCUUUUCGACACUGGGAUCAGUUUUUGGAGCUUCAUUGCAAUAAUCUGAUCUCGAACUGCUGGUAAAUUUUACAACUUUGACUCUGUUUAGCAAGUUUUAUGUCGUCUUGCCAGCACAGUAUCACUUCUUCUAUUGGAUAAGUCUUUUAAUGUAAUAACCAUUUAAAUAGAACACCAAAGUUAAUGAACAAUUAGAGAAUUUUUUUAAAUGUCUCCUUGUUUGACCUUUGCAUCAUUCGGAUCAGAGUUAAAGUCACUGAUAUAAUUUGUUAAAGAUGAACUCUUUAUUUCAGAAAAUAAUAUGAAAAUGUUGGUUCAUUUACAAUGUUUUUGGAAGUGGUGAGAUCAUUGUUGGAUCGAAUAACUAUAAGAUAAAAAUUAAAAUUAAAUAUUUACCUCAAAUUGUUAUAUAUGUAAUAAUGGUGGUUAACAAUUUAAUAAUUUGGCGAGAAGCGAAAUUUGUCCAAAGGAAAAAUAUGGAGACAUUUAGAGAACCACUCUUACAUUAAAGUGGUUUUGCAACAUUUUCUAUGAAGUAGCUAUAAAUAAAAGAAUGUGUAGAGAAACAAAACUUAUAAGAAAAAAUAUUCUUGAUAUUUAUAGCUAGAAGGAAACUCAACAUGAUAAUAAGUAACUAUUUAAAACAUGAUGUAUAGAUAUUAUUAUGAUUGCCAGGUUGUAUUCUAAAGAUUAAAUGUAGAGCAAAAGAAAUCAUGUAAUCUUCUCUGAAUGUUUUGAUUUAUGAUUUGGAUAAUCUUCUACAGCUUCAAUCUUCUACUACUGGUUGUAGUUUUAGAAUAGUCUUUUAGUAAUAUUUUAACAUACAAAAGAGAUAUGCUCAUUUAAAGGAAUGUGUUUGAAAAUUUGUAACGGAAAAUAAAAGCUCAUAAAACAUUAAUUAAGCAA